GUGACUGCGUACCUUUUGUAUAAUGGGUCAGCGACUUAUAUUCUGUAGCAAGGUUAACCGAAUAGGGGAGCCGGAGGGAAACCGAGUCUUAAUUGGGCGUUAAGUUGCAGGGUAUAGACCCGAAACCCGGUGAUCUAGCCAUGGGCAGGUUGAAGGUUGGGUAACACUAACUGGAGGACCGAACCGACUAAUGUUGAAAAAUUAGCGGAUGACCUGUGGCUGGGGGUGAAAGGCCAAUCAAACCGGGAGAUAGCUGGUUCUCCCCGAAAGCUAUUUAGGUAGCGCCUCGUGAACUCAUCUCCGGGGGUAGAGCACUGUUUCGGCUAGGGGGCCAUCCCGGCUUACCAACCCGAUGCAAACUGCGAAUACCGGAGAAUGUUAUCACGGGAGACACACGGCGGGUGCUAACGUCCGUCGUGAAGAGGGAAACAACCCAGACCGCCAGCUAAGGUCCCAAAGUCAUGGUUAAGUGGGAAACGAUGUGGGAAGGCCCAGACAGCCAGGAUGUUGGCUUAGAAGCAGCCAUCAUUUAAAGAAAGCGUAAUAGCUCACUGGUCGAGUCGGCCUGCGCGGAAGAUGUAACGGGGCUAAACCAUGCACCGAAGCUGCGGCAGCGACGCUGAUGCGUUGUUGGGUAGGGGAGCGUUCUGUAAGCCUGUGAAGGUGUGUCGUGAGGCAUGCUGGAGGUAUCAGAAGUGCGAAUGCUGACAUAAGUAACGAUAAAGCGGGUGAAAAGCCCGCUCGCCGGAAGACCAA
rnacentral:rRNA from 1 species